rnacentral:tRNA from 1 species
UCCCUGGUGGUUCAGUGGGUAAAACUCUGUGCUCCCAAUGCAGGGGCCCAGGUUUCAUCCCUGGUCAGGAAA